ensembl:lncRNA
ACAAUUUUUUGUAACAUUAUACACUUUACAAUUUAUACAUAUAUUUUGUAUUAUUUAUUAAUGAAAAUGUGUGUGUGUGUGUGUGUGUGUGUGUUAUAGAAAAGUAUAGAAAUUAAUACUUUUAUUUGGCAAGGAUGCUUUAAAUUGGUCAAAAGUGAUUAUAAAUACAUUUAUCAAUUUCAGAUUAAUGCUGUUCUUUUAUUUAUCAAAGAAACCUGAAAAAUUCUACUCAGCUGUUUUCAACAUAAAUAUAAUAAUAAUAAUAAAUGUUUUUGAGCAGCAAAUUAGCAUAUUAGAAUGAUUUCUGAAGGAUCGUGUGACUGGAGUAAUGAUGCUAAAAUUCAGCUUUGAAAUCACAUGAAUAAAUUAGAUUUUAAAAUAUGUUCAAAUAGAAAACAGUUAUUUUAUAUAGUAAAAAUAUUUCACAUUUUUACUGUUUUUGCUGUACUUUGGAUCAAAUACAUGCAGGCUUGGUGAGCAGAAGAGACUUCUUUAAAAAAAAAAAAUCUUACUAUUCAAAAACUUUUGUUUGGUAGUGUAUAUACUAUAUUCAAGUCAGAGCACUCUCACUAAUUUAAGAAGCACCCUCAGCGAUUUGAUUUUGGAGCUGAGGUCGUUCCAGAGGAUCCAGGCGUUCGUAGAUAAACUCACACAGAACGAAACUCGAUGGCGAAAUAGACCCGCCCACUCGAGAGUCUCCACGCCCCGCCCACUCGAGAGCCUCCACGCCCCGCCCACAGCACAACAGAACCCACCCUAAACAACAACACUUCUGCUCCGGUUGAGAAACACUUGAAGACACGGUCUCCUCCGACACUUUCUCUGGACACUAGAAGAUCUUUACACGAGGGAAGAUGCAUUCAGGCAGCCUUGAGAAAGUGGGUUCGCUGAGGAGACGGACGCUGUCUCGAGGAAUGAGCGAAGAGGAGUCUCUAAGACACAUUAUCAGAGACGCAGAAGAAUCGAGCAGACACCUGUCACGCAGCGAUAGCAGAUAUGGAUCAUUAAAAAGAGGACAAAGACAAGAAAGCCAUAGUGAAGAUGAUCUACUUACUGAAAACAUAGAAAUGGAAAGAAGCAGCGAGCCGCUUCAGUCGAGGCCGGCGGGGCCCGUCUGCCUCCUGGAGGGGACAUCAGUGGACCGAGACGAACAUCCGCUCGCACACAGCGAAGGCACCUCCGUGGAUCCGAGCACGAGCCAGCUGUUACAGCUGAAGACAGCGGUCAGCCAGACCCUGAGUGCGUCAGUGUUGCACAGUCAGAAGCCUGGUGCUCAGGGUGGAGAUGAUUACGACGAAAGCAGCGGCUAUGAAGACGCUCCGUCCGAGUUCUCGCCCAGUCCGUCCACUCCAGACACGCAGCCGGACGGAGCUCUGCUGGACAGCGAGGCUGAAGAGGGAGGAGUUGGGAUGAAUGACUCCGAGUCUGGCCUCUCUAAAAGUUCAGAUUCUUGUGCUCUCUCUUAAAUUAUUCUAGUUCUGUAAAACGAUUAAUCACAUCCGAAAUAAAAGGUUUUGUUUACAUAAUAUAUGUGUGUAU